UUAUUUUAUUGAUGUUGUUCAGACGACACGUUUAUAAUGGGUUUGAGAAAACUUCUGACGGCAAGCCGCCAAAGAAACGGGUAUUAAGUCAAAGGGUUUAAGGUUGGACCCGGAGGUCCCCUUCAAUAAUGAUCCUUCCGCAGGUUCACCUACGGAAA
rnacentral:misc_RNA from 1 species